rnacentral:rRNA from 1 species
GAUGAACGCUGGCGGCGUGCCUAAUACAUGCAAGUCGAGCGAACAGAUAAGGAGCUUGCUCCUUUGACGUUAGCGGCGGACGGGUGAGUAACACGUGGAUAACCUACCUAUAAGACUGGGAUAAAUUCGGGAAACCGGAGCUAAUACCGGAUAACAUAUUGAACCGCAUGGUUCAAUAGUGAAAGGCGGCUUUGCUGUCACUUAUAGAUGGAUCCGCGCCGUAUUAGCUAGUUGGUAAGGUAACGGCUUACCAAGGCAACGAUACGUAGCCGACCUGAGAGGGUGAUCGGCCACACUGGAACUGAGACACGGUCCAGACUCCUACGGGAGGCAGCAGUAGGGAAUCUUCCGCAAUGGGCGAAAGCCUGACGGAGCAACGCCGCGUGAGUGAUGAAGGUCUUCGGAUCGUAAAACUCUGUUAUCAGGGAAGAACAAGUGUGUAAGUAACUGUGCACAUCUUGACGGUACCUGAUCAGAAAGCCACGGCUAACUACGUG